CCGUUGGGGUGGGGAGGGUCGGCGCGAGGGGUGAGGUAUCGCGGGGCUUGACGAAGCGCGGUGGGGUUGCGCGCCUAGCGUCCGCCUUCGCGCAGGCGCAGUCUGGGCGGCCCGAGAAGGGCUUUGGAAGCGUGGGAGGUGGCAGAGCGACCUCGUGGUGACUGACGCCUCGCCUUCCGCACCCGGCACACGCCCUGCGCUUCGGGACCGGUGUGGAUCGCCGCUGGAGCAGGAGCAUCGGCGGGCGCAGGGCGGGGAUCCCACCCGGUCCGGCACCUGCUGGUGCCCCCGCCGCCCACCUGCACGCCGCACCUGCUGGGUCCCGCCCCUGCCCAGGGCCUCUGCGGGCCACCUGUGCCCUGCACCGGGCGAGCAUCCGGAGGCCUGAAUAAUUGGGGGUAAUGAGGUGCGGUGAUGGUGAAGAUGUGAUAAACCGUCACGGGAGGUGGACAGGGGGACCUCUGACUUUCUGGCCGAGCCUAGGAAUGAGUAGCUUUCUAGGAGAUUUAUUUUUACAGAGACGUAUUGAGGAAAAUUUUAGGUGGAAAAGUGGAAUAGUAUAAUCACGUCCGGGGUACCAGUCACUGAGCUUAGCGGUUAAUGUUCUGGCCAUCUUGUUUCACGUACUCCCCUCUUCCUUUUUUCCCUGCACAUCUUUAAGGAGAGUCCCAGGUAUAACGUCAUUUCGCUUUGAAAGGGUGCUUUUGAGUAUAUCGCUGUAUUUAUGGGGUAGGUCUUAAGAAAAACUUUAAGAAUAUUUAGCACCAUGCCACUAUUACACUUAUAUAAUUCUUAUGAUCCUCUGAGGGCUGGUUUAGAGUCACAUUUCCCUGACUGUCUCCCUUUUGACCUCCACAUCCAGACCUGGGCCCCAACAUGCAAUUUGGUUGGAUCCAUCCCUCACCCCCCCCACUCCCCCCCCCACACACAAGGUGACCCACCAUCCUUUAUAAUAGAGAUUUCAAUGAGAAAGCAGGCCAUUGGUGCCUGCGGAACAGCAAGCAGUCUGGAUUUGGGUAACUGCUUCCUUGUGGUGUCCUUUACCUUUUUCCCUUAUAAUUGUAUUUAGAUCCAGGUGAAAACAACACCAAUAACUACUUGUCCAAAUCCAUUUAGCAAGUAAGUGGCAGACACUGAUUUGAACCCCAACUGUCAGACUCCAGAGUUUGGCCUCUUAACCACUACUGUGCACUGUCAGGGACCUGCAGGUGGAAACCCAGUAUGUGCUGGGAAUGUAGAAUGCAGAGGUCAAGGGAAGGAAGGCCAUGGGACGUGAAUCUGGGAGGAUCGAUGUCAUAGACAAAAACAGCCCCAGAGAUGUCCAUAUCCCGAUCCCCGGAACCUGUGGAUAUGUUACCUUGUCUGAGAUGGUGCGAUGACCCUGCGUUAUAGUGGCUGGUCCAGGGGUAUCGCGAGGGUCCUAACAAGGGAGGCAAGAGGGCCAGAGGAGGAGCUGUCCCAGAAGGAGAAGUCAGAGUGGCAUGAACGCAGGUGGCCCCUUGAGCCUGGAAAAGGAAUGGGUGGCUUCUCCCCGAAAGUCCCAGAAAGAACACAGCUCUACAGACUCCUUGAUUUGAGCCCAGUAAAACCUAUUUCAGACUUCUGAUCUCUGUUACUGUCAGAUAAUAAAUUUGUGCUGUUUUCAGACACUAA